AAAUUGAAGAGUUUGAUCAUGGCUCAGAUUGAACGCUGGCGGCAGGCCUAACACAUGCAAGUCGAACGGUAACAGGAAGCAGCUUGCUGCUUUGCUGACGAGUGGCGGACGGGUGAGUAAUGUCUGGGAAACUGCCUGAUGGAGGGGGAUAACUACUGGAAACGGUAGCUAAUACCGCAUAAUGUCGCAAGACCAAAGAGGGGGACCUUCGGGCCUCUUGCCAUCGGAUGUGCCCAGAUGGGAUUAGCUAGUAGGUGGGGUAACGGCUCACCUAGGCGACGAUCCCUAGCUGGUCUGAGAGGAUGACCAGCCACACUGGAACUGAGACACGGUCCAGACUCCUACGGGAGGCAGCAGUGGGGAAUAUUGCACAAUGGGCGCAAGCCUGAUGCAGCCAUGCCGCGUGUAUGAAGAAGGCCUUCGGG
rnacentral:rRNA from 1 species